UGCGCGCGACGCGCUGGCCGCAUAAAUGCGGCGGCAUCCGGCGUAGGAGCACUUCAGCCGGGAGAGCCUGGGCGUUCGGACGUUUGCCGGUGUCGCGGGCCGCGACAGAGCCCGCCCCUGCUCGCUGCGCCAUGGCGGACGAAGGGAAGUCAUACAACGAGCACGAUGAUCGAGUUAGUUUCCCUCAAAGAAGGAAGAAAGGCCGAGGCCCUUUCCGGUGGAAGUGUGGCGAGGGGAACCGGCGCUCUGCAAGGGGAGGUUCUGGCAUUCGGUCUUCCCGCCUUGAGGAAGAUGACAGGGAUGUGGCAGUGAGCGACGCCCAGGAUGUUCCCCGACUACGAUACAACCCCUAUGCUGCGCGACCCAACCGUCGGGGCGAUGGUUGGCACGAGCGGUCUCGAAUUCACGUCACGGUGCCUCUGCGGAGAGACAGAGUUCCUCCAGAGAGGGGAGGAGCCGGCACCAGCCAGGAUGGGACCUCAAAGAACUGGUUUAAGAUUACAAUUCCUUAUGGCAGGAAAUACGACAAGUCAUGGCUCCUGGGCAUGAUUCAGAGCAAGUGCAGUGUCCCUUUCACUCCCAUUGAGUUUCACUAUGAAAACACACGGGCCCAGUUUUUUGUCGAGGACGCCAGUACCGCCUCGGCAUUGAAGGCUGUCAACUAUAAGAUUUUGGAUCGGGAGAACCGCAGGAUAUCUAUCAUCAUCAACUCCUCUCCGCCGCCCCACACUGUGCAGAACGAGCUGAAGCCGGAGCAAGUCGAGCAGCUCAAGCUGAUCAUGAGCAAACGAUACGAUGGCUCCCAGCAAGCCCUUGACCUCAAGGGCCUCCGUACAGACCCAGACUUGGUGGCCCAGAACAUCGACGUGGUCCUGAACCGCAGAAGCUGCAUGGCAGCUGCCCUGCGCAUCAUCGAAGAGAACAUCCCUGAGCUGUUGUCCUUGAACUUGAGCAAUAACAAGCUCUACAGACUGGAUGACUUGUCCAACAUCGUGCAGAAAGCACCGAAUCUAAAGAUCCUAAAUCUCUCUGGAAACGAGCUGAAGUCUGAGCGGGAGCUGGACAAGAUCAAAGGGCUGAAGCUAGAAGAGCUGUGGCUCGAUGGAAACACCCUGUGUGAUACCUUCCGAGACCAGUCCACCUACAUCAGGUCAGUUGUAGCCUCUGUCUCCCCUCCUGGGGACCUUCACCCCCCAGGAGGCUGAGCUGCUGCCCCCUGACCAGUGCCCAUCUGCAGGAGAUGUGCAGCCCUGAGCUGGAACCACCUGUCCUUUGGGAGGAUCACGUGCUCCUCCCUCUCGUCUGUCCGUGUCCCCAGCUUGGCCCGGGUCUCCUGCCCUUCCUUCCCACCUGACUGCUCUUUGCUGGUUCUGUGGCCUUUCUCCCUCCUUCCUGAGCACAGCCUUUUCCAGACUCUCCCUGCCCUCUGUUCCAGGAAGAGCAUCUCCCCUUUUCUCCUGUGACCAGGGGGUGUCGUGUAUGUGCCCCACACGUGGGGUUGAUUUGAGCAGCCAAGAGCCUGCUACCCCUGGGCAGAGAAAGCCCUCCCUCCCCAGGGCUUCUGCUGAUGGGCCUUCCCUCCUCUGCACUUUGGCCAGGAGGGCCCGCUUCUCUCAGUCCAUGCGCCCAAGGCUGCAGUCUGGGCUUCCCCGCCCCCGCUGAGGUGGAGGCCUCCUGGGGGCUGCUGCCAGGCAGACGGUGUCUCUUGCCCAGUGCUCUGAGCUGAGCCCUCCCUGGAGGAGAAACCUGGGGUCCCUAAGACAUGUGACCAGAGCCGGGGCCCCGCCGGCAGGCGAGGGCAUCCCCAGGCAGGUGCUGGGCGUGGAGGCCGCGGGGGCGUAGGCUGCAAGGAGACGGAGAACUGACCCUCUCCGGGGGCGCUGCCCCUCCCUCGCUCACACACCUCACAUCACCCUGCUUGGCCCCGGAGGAUGGCUGGCUAGCCAGAGACGGGUAAGAUUCCUCAGGGAAGGAACAACCUAAGACAGGCACAGUCGCAGAGGGGCCAUCAGGAGAGGACUUGGGGGCCAACAGAGGUGGGGCACAGACCCUCACCCCCCCAACUUUGCAGGGGCCUGAACCCUCACGCCUUCUGAGGGAGGUCUCCUGCCCCCAUGGCUGUCUCGCUUCCCACGCCCAGCUCAGAUCGGGACCCAGGUGGCAGACAGAGACCUGGCCAACAGCAGCCGCCCUCUCGCCACACCGAGGAUUUGUUUCCCAUGUCCUCCUCGGACCACAGGGAGAGGGGAGCUGAAGGAAAAGGCUGGGUCAGGCGCCUUCUUCCCUUCGUUCUCCCUCUUCUCUCUGGGUGGCUCUUCGCCCUGUAGAGCUCCGGCUUCUUUGCUUUCUUUUUCCUUUUUCUCUCUACGCGCCUGUGUCUCCCUCGUCUCUCCUUCGCCCCCUCCCCUCCUACCUGUCCUCUCUCUCUUCUCUCCCUGCCUUCUCUUCUUCCUUGGCCUCCCCUCCUCCUGAGCCCUGCCUUGCUCGUCUCCCUGCCCCAACAUCCUGUGCCAUCCCUGUGGUGUGUUCUGGUCUUGGCCACGGCCAGACCUGGCAGAAGUGAUGGAUACCUGUUGAGGCAGCGGAGCCCCUGGGCUCCCACCCCAUUCCCUCCUCCCGGGGCUGCACAGCGCCAUUCGAGAACGAUUCCCCAAAUUACUACGCCUGG